GAUAGCGUCUUGAGAGAACCCUCUGCUAUGGUUUCGCCUGAUGCUAUUCGCUCGAUGCUAUUCUUCCACCGACUCUCUCUGCUCUCAAGCUAUCGCUGCUCCCAGCUCAAGCACGAUGAUCAAGGAAGCGAGGGGGACAGUUAGAGCUGUCGUCGGCGAGUAGCAGAAACACUUUUGGAGGCCUUCUCGCACUUGGUUUGGAGUUUUGGGUUGCUGCGAGGAGGAUGACUGUAGCUGUGGCAAGCACCUGCUCUAUUCUCUCUCCUAUGACACGGACAAACAUCAUACACGGUUUUGUUGAGGAAAGUAUCUAUUUGCUGUUCAUGGAAAGGACAGAGAAACUAUUCAAAUUUUACGGUGCACUGCAUGUGCACAUACUAACAUCCUUGACUGAUUGCGACUGUUCAUUUCACCGGUUAGCAGUUUCCACAAAUAUCAAGAACCGUACAAAGAUGAGUAUGAAAGAUUACCAACAAAUGCCAAGAGCUGAUGCUUCGAUUUUCUGAGUCUACAUUGCUAGCUGGCAAGAAGUCAUGUUUAAAGUGUCGACUUCCGUGUUUAGUUGGUGGUGCACAAAAUGAUGGGAAAAAAGGUUAAACAUGAGUUCAUUCGCUGCAACAGUUGGCUUUUGUAUUGCAAUGACUAAGAUUUGCCACAAGAAUAAUUGUAGGUUCUUUUUUGCAUUAUCACAUAUAUUGUGUAUGGUUAUUAUACAGCA